UGUUAAAAUAAAAUUAAAAAAAGCUGAAACUAUUUUGGGUUCGCGCUGAUAUAAUUUUCCUUUCCCACUUCUUUUCACACAAUCAAUAAGAACUUCUUUUCUCUCACUUUGAACCCAGACCUUCUUUGAACAUCAUUCGAAUCUCAGCCUCAGCAAACUCAUACCCAUCGAACCCCAUAUCUCCCAUGUCAUCAUCUCACUCUCAACGAUAAGAUACAAAACAUCAUUUGCUGGAGUCCACAAAUGCCGAACUCUCUCCCUAGUCCCUAACCUCAUACCUUCAUCGAUCUAUCCCUCACCUAACCCAUCAUUUGAACGCUCUCUCUCUCUCUCUCUCCCUCGUUGAACUCUAAUUGAAUCAAUUGAUUGAAACCCCCAUCUUUCAGAAAUCAAUUGAACCCUAAUUUGAUUAAUCAAAUUCUAUGUGAGGCAAGUGGUGAACACAAUCUUCCAUUCAUAAGAAGGGAUGUUUGGUGUGAAAUAACCUGCAGAAUUUUGCAGUAGUGGAUCAGAUUUGUGUUGUUUUGUUGUCUCGGUUCUGUUUUGGGGUGGGAGUGAUCUAGAAUUGCUUGUGUUGUUUCGUCGUUUGGAGUCAAUUGAGGGUUUCAAUUGAGUUGGUUUUCUGAUCUUCCAGUAGUAUUGGUUCGAGGACAGCGAAUUCGGGUUAUGGUACCUCUUCAAAUUCUACUUCAAUACAUACAAUAAAUUGGUACUUAUCACUCCCUUUACUCUUUUUUUUUUUUUUUUUCAUGAGAUCCUCCAGAUUGCGCUGCUACUACUGAACUGCUGCGGCUUUGAGCUUUUGCUGCGGUUCUGCUACUCCUAAUUGCUACUGCUGUUGUGCGCUGCAUCUGCUGUACCACUGAUUUGCGCUUCUGCUGCUGUUCCUAUUCGCUGCUACAGUCUGCUUCCUCAUCUCCUUCCAUUUCGUUACAAACUCAUUGUGUUACAGUCCCGUCCAAACUAUUUUCUUUGUCGGUUUUAAAGCAAUAUCACUACUCGUUGUAGUGCAUACUUUGGAAAU